AGAGUUUGAUCAUGGCUCAGGACGAACACUGGCGGCGUGCCUAACACAUGCAAGUCGAGCGAGGAGAUUCCUUCGGGAUGAUCCUAGCGGCGGACGGGUGAGUAACACGUGGGCAACCUGCCUCAUAGAGAGGAAUAGCCUUCCGAAAGGGAGAUUAAUACCUCAUAACAUUGCAGUUUCGCAUGGAACAGCAAUUAAAGGAGCAAUCCGCUAUGAGAUGGGCCCGCGGCGCAUUUAGCUAGUUGGUGAGGUAACGGCUCACCAAGGCGACGAUGCGUAGCCGACCUGAGAGGGUGAUCGGCCACAUUGGGACUGAGACACGGCCCAGACUCCUACGGGAGGCAGCAGUGGGGAAUAUUGCACAAUGGGGGAAACCCUGAUGCAGCCAACGCCGCGUGAGUGAUGACGGCCUUCGGGUUGUAAAGGCUCUGUCUUCAGGGACGAUAAUGACAGUACCUGAGGAGGAAGCCACGGCUAACUACGUGCCAGCCGCUGC
rnacentral:rRNA from 1 species